UUGCCAAUGAUGAUAUCAUAUAAAAAUACCAUCUUUCGGGACUGAAUGGCUUUCUAAGCCUUGCUGUCAUUCUGCUAUUCUGAGGCAU
rfam:Nelumbo nucifera unplaced genomic scaffold scaffold00011, whole genome shotgun sequence